AUUGAACGCUGGCGGCAUGCCUUACACAUGCAAGUCGAACGGCAGCACGGGUGCUUGCACCUGGUGGCGAGUGGCGCACGGGUGAGUAAUACAUCGGAACAUGUCCUGUAGUGGGGGAUAGCCCGGCGAAAGCCGGAUUAAUACCGCAUACGAUCUACGGAUGAAAGCGGGGGACCUUCGGGCCUCGCGCUUUAGGGUUGGCCGAUGGCUGAUUAGCUAGUUGGUGGGGUAAAGGCCUACCAAGGCGACGAUCAGUAGCUGGUCUGAGAGGACGACCAGCCACACUGGGAGUGAGACGCGGCACAGACUCCUACGAGGGGCAGCAGUAGAGAAUUUUGCACGGUGGGCGAAAGCCUGAUCCAGCAGUGCCGCGUGUGUGAAGAAGGCCGUCGGGUUGUAAAGCACUUUUUUCCGGAAAGAAAUCCUUGGCCCUAAUACGGUCGUGGGAUGACGGUACCGGAAGAAUAAGCACGGGAGAACUACG
rnacentral:rRNA from 1 species